rnacentral:misc_RNA from 1 species
CGCACCUUGCACUCCUUGGUAUUCCAUGGAGCAUGCCUGUUUGAGUGUCACGUUAACCCUCACGCCUCGCGAUGUCACAGUCGCGUCGUCGUGGAUUUGGACGUCUGCCGUCGCCGGCUCGUCUUGAAAUGCAUUAGCUCGCAGCCUUUUAGAGCGCUCGGCACGGUGUGAUAAUAUCUGCUCCGUCUGCCUCAGGCCUCUUCUAGUUGGACGCGGCUUCCAAUCGUCCCUUGCGGACAGACACAUUUUUAAAGCCUUUGGCCUCAAAUCAGGUAGGACUACCCGCUGAACUUAA